rnacentral:rRNA from 1 species
GAAUAUUGGACAAUGGGCGAAAGCCUGAUCCAGCCAUGCCGCGUGUGUGAAGAAGGUCUUCGGAUUGUAAAGCACUUUAAGCGAGGAGGAGGCUACUCUAGUUAAUACCUAGGGAUAGUGGACGUUACUCGCAGAAUAAGCACCGGCUAACUCUGUGCCAGCAGCCGCGGUAAUACAGAGGGUGCAAGCGUUAAUCGGAUUUACUGGGCGUAAAGCGCGCGUAGGUGGCCAAUUAAGUCAAAUGUGAAAUCCCCGAGCUUAACUUGGGAAUUGCAUUCGAUACUGGUUGGCUAGAGUAUGGGAGAGGAUGGUAGAAUUCCAGGUGUAGCGGUGAAAUGCGUAGAGAUCUGGAGGAAUACCGAUGGCGAAGGCAGCCUUCUGGCCUAAUACUGACACUGAGGUGCGAAAGCGUGGGGAGCAAACAGG